GUCUACGGCCAUACCACGUUGAAAACACCAGUUCUCGUCCGAUCACUGAAGUUUAGCAACAUCGGGCUCGGUUAGUACUUGGAUGGGUGACCGCCUGGGAACACCGAGUGCUGUAGACG
rfam:Lottia gigantea unplaced genomic scaffold LOTGIsca_18, whole genome shotgun sequence.